AACGCUCCUCAGCCUUUCGCUAAGAUCAAGUGUAGUCUCUGUUCUUAUCAGUUUAAUAUCUGAUACGUCCUCUAUCCGAGGACAAUAUAUUAAAUGGACUUUUGGAGAGAGAGAAAGAGAGAGAGAG
rnacentral:snRNA from 1 species